rnacentral:rRNA from 1 species
AGCAGCCGCGGUAAUUCCAGCUCCAAUAGCGUAUAUUAAAGUUGUUGCAGUUAAAAAGCUCGUAGUUGAAUUUCGGAGUCAGUAGGUUGGUCAUGCCUUCGGUAUGUACUGGUCUCACUGAUUCCUCCCUCUUGAAGAACUGUAAUGUCAUUAAUUUGGUGUUGCGGGGAAACAGGACUGUUACUUUGAAAAAAUUGAGUGUUUAAAGCAGGCUCACGCUUGAAUACAUUAGCAUGGAAUAAUGAAAUAGGACGAUCGAUCCUAUUUUGUUGGUUUCUAGGAUUGACGUAAUGAUUAAUAGGGAUAGUUGGGGGCAUUAGUAUUCAAUUGUCAGAGGUGAAAUUCUUGGAUUUAUUGAAGACUAACUACUGCGAAAGCAUUUGCCAAGGAUGUUUUCAUUAAUCAAGAACGAAAGUUAGGGAUCGAAGACGAUCAGAUACCGUCGUAGUCUUAACCAUAAACUAUGCCGACUAGGGAUCGGAUGAUGUUAAUUUUUAUGACUC